rnacentral:rRNA from 1 species
AGGGUUCGAUUCUGGCUCAGGAUGAACGCUGGCGGCGUGCUUAACACAUGCAAGUCGAACGGGAUCCAUCAGGCUUUGCUUGGUGGUGAGAGUGGCGAACGGGUGAGUAAUGCGUGACCGACCUGCCCCAUACACCGGAAUAGCUCCUGGAAACGGGUGGUAAUGCCGGAUGCUCCAGUUGAUCGCAUGGUCUUCUGGGAAAGCUUUCGCGGUAUGGGAUGGGGUCGCGUCCUAUCAGCUUGACGGCGGGGUAACGGCCCACCGUGGCUUCGACGGGUAGCCGGCCUGAGAGGGCGACCGGCCACAUUGGGACUGAGAUACGGCCCAGACUCCUACGGGAGGCAGCAGUGGGGAAUAUUGCACAAUGGGCGCAAGCCUGAUGCAGCGACGCCGCGUGAGGGAUGGAGGCCUUCGGGUUGUAAACCUCUUUUAUCGGGGAGCAAGCGAGAGUGAGUUUACCCGUUGAAUAAGCACCGGCUAACUACGUGCCAGCAGCCGCGGUAAUACGUAGGGUGCAAGCGUUAUCCGGAAUUAUUGGGCGUAAAGGGCUCGUAGGCGGUUCGUCGCGUCCGGUGUGAAAGUCCAUCGCUUAACGGUGGAUCCGCGCCGGGUACGGGCGGGCUUGAGUGCGGUAGGGGAGACUGGAAUUCCCGGUGUAACGGUGGAAUGUGUAGAUAUCGGGAAGAACACCAAUGGCGAAGGCAGGUCUCUGGGCCGUUACUGACGCUGAGGAGCGAAAGCGUGGGGAGCGAACAGGAUUAGAUACCCUGGUAGUCCACGCCGUAAACGGUGGAUGCUGGAUGUGGGGCCCGUUCCACGGGUUCCGUGUCGGAGCUAACGCGUUAAGCAUCCCGCCUGGGGAGUACGGCCGCAAGGCUAAAAC